GCGGGUGUGGUGGAAUUGGUAGACACACUAGACUUAGGAUCUAGCGGCGGUUACGCCAUGGGGGUUCAAGUCCCUCCACCCGCACCA
rnacentral:tRNA from 1 species